rnacentral:rRNA from 1 species
GUACUUGAGGAGGAAGCCCCGGCUAACUACGUGCCAGCAGCCGCGGUAAUACGUAGGGGGCUAGCGUUAUCCGGAAUUACUGGGCGUAAAGGGUGCGUAGGUGGUUUCUUAAGUCAGAGGUGAAAGGCUACGGCUCAACCGUAGUAAGCCUUUGAAACUGGGAAACUUGAGUGCAGGAGAGGAGAGUGGAAUUCCUAGUGUAGCGGUGAAAUGCUUAGAUAUCACGAAGAACUCCGAUUGCGAAGGCAGCUCACUGGAGCGCAACUGACGCUGAAGCUCGAAAGUGCGGGUAUCGAACAGGAUUAGAUACCCUGGUAGUCCCGCACGGUAAACGAUGGAUGCCCGCUGUUGGUCUGAAUAGGUCAGCGGCCAAGCGAAAGCAUUAAGCAUCCCACCUGGGGAGUACGCCGGCAACGGUGAAACUCAAAGGAAUUGACGGGGGCCCGCACAAGCGGAGGAACAUGUGGUUUAAUUCGAUGAUACGCGAGGAACCUUACCCGGGCUUGAAUUGCAGAGGAAGGAUUUGGAGACAAUGACGCCCUUCGGGGUCUCUGUGAAGGUGCUGCAUGGUUGUCGUCAGCUCGUGCCGUGAGGUGUCGGCUUAAGUGCCAUAACGAGCGCAACCCCUCUCUUUAGUUGCCAUCAGGUCAAGCUGGGCACUCUGGGGACACUGCCACCGUAAGGUGUGAGGAAGGUGGGGAUGACGUCAAAUCAGCACGGCCCUUACGUCCGGGGCUACACACGUGUUACAAUGGCAGGUACAGAGAGAUGGUGUUCUGCAAAGCGCAUCUAAUCCUUAAAGCCUGUCUCAGUUCGGACUGGGGUCUGCAACCCGACCCCACGAAGCUGGAUUCGCUAGUAAUCGCGCAUCAGCCAUGGCGCGGUGAAUACGUUCCCGGGCCUUGCACUCACCGCCCGUCAAG